UACGUAGGGUGCAAGCGUUGUCCGGAAUUAUUGGGCGUAAAGAGCGUGUAGGCGGCCCGAUUAGUCCGCUGUGAAAGUCCAGGGCUCAACCCUGGAAUGCCGGUGGAUACUGUCGGGCUAGAGUGCAGAAGGGGCAAUCGGAAUUCUUGGUGUAGCGGUGAAAUGCGUAGAUAUCAAGAGGAACACCUGAGGUGAAGACGGGUUGCUGGGCUGACACUGACGCUGAGGCGCGAAAGCUAGGGUAGCAAACGGG
rnacentral:rRNA from 1 species